UACGGGGGGGGCAAGCGUUGUUCGGAAUUACUGGGCGUAAAGCGCGCGUAGGCGGCUUUGUAAGUUAGAGGUGAAAGCCCGGAGCUCAACUCCGGAACUGCCUUUAAAACUGCAUCGCUUGAAUCCAGGAGAGGUGAGUGGAAUUCCGAGUGUAGAGGUGAAAUUCGUAGAUAUUCGCAAGAACACCAGUGGCGAAGGCGGCUCACUGGCCCGGUACUGACGCUGAGGUGCGAAAGCGUGGGGAGCAAACAGG
rnacentral:rRNA from 1 species